UGGCGUACGGGUGAGUAACACGUGGGUAAUCUACCUCCUCGUGGGGAAUAACUUUGGGAGAGCGGAGCUAAUACCGCAUAAGCUCGAGAGAGGAAAGCAGCAAUGCGCAGGGAGAGGAGCCCGCGGCCGAUUAGCUAGUUGGCAGGGUAAAAGCCUACCAAGGCAAAGAUCGGUAGCCGGCCUGAGAGGGCACACGGCCACAGGGGCACUGAAACACGGGCCAGACUCCUACGGGAGGCAGCAGUGGGGAAUCUUGCACAAUGGGGGAAACCCUGAUGCAGCGACGCCGCGUGAGCGAUGAAGCCCUUCGGGGUGUAAAGCUCUUUCGGCAGGGAAGAUGAUGACGGUACCUGCAGAAGCAGCUGCGGCUAACUACGUGCCAGCAGCCGCGGUAAUACGUAGGCAGCAAGCGUUGUUCGGAGUUACUGGGCGUAAAGGGUGUGUAGGCGGUUGCUUAAGUUUGGUGUGAAAUCUCCCGGCUCAACUGGGAGGGUGCGCCGAAUACUGAGUG
rnacentral:rRNA from 1 species